UACGUAGGGGGCAAGCGUUGUCCGGAAUCAUUGGGCGUAAAGCGCGUGUAGGCGGCUCGAUAAGUCUGCUGUGAAAGUCCAAGGCUCAACCUUGGGAUGCCGGUGGAUACUGUCGAGCUCGAGUCCGGAAGAGGAGUGUGGAAUUCCUGGUGUAGCGGUGAAAUGCGCAGAUAUCAGGAGGAACACCAAUGGCGAAGGCAGCUCGCUGGGACGGUACUGACGCUGAGGCGCGAAAGCGUGGGGAGCAAACAGG
rnacentral:rRNA from 1 species